rnacentral:tRNA from 1 species
AGCUUGAUUGAGCAUUCGGUUUGGCACCGAAGGGACGCAGGUUCGAAUCCUGUCUUCCCGA